rnacentral:sRNA from 1 species
CAUUCCGGUAGGCAAGGCUACCUCAGGGAUACGGAUUGUUGCCGCGCAGCAGUGGAGACACUGUCAGAUGGUCAGCAGGAAAUGUCGAAUCCAAGGCAUUUCUUAAUACAAUACCACCGCCCUGGGAUGCUGAAGCUCGAACGGUGGA